rnacentral:lncRNA from 1 species
AGGAGGCAAGGUCAUUUGGGGAAAGUAAUGCUCAAGUUACCAACAAUCCUGAAAAUGAUGGGUGCAUAAAUGCAGUCUUGCUGGUUUGACAGUGACGUCAUACAAGUCAUUCCACUCACUAUGGAAGGCUACAGUGUCAGGAAAACACCAUCGCUGUGAUCUUUCUGAACUACCAAUCAGCCUUACUCCAUGUGCAGUCAUCAAGAAGUAUUUAUUAAAUUGUAUAGGAAAAUAAAACACUGCCCAAUUUAAAAAAAAAAAAA